AAGGAAUCUUUAAAGGAGAAAGAAAAUCAAAAAGAAAAUGAGAAGAAUGAUGUUAAAAUAAAUUCUCAAAUAAAGUUAGAUAAAACUAAAUGUGGGAAGACAGCUGCUACUCCGUUUCCAUCGAUACAUAUAUUUAAUGCAAUUGAGCAUGUUUCUCGGUAAAGGAAGAUCUAAGGAAUUAAAAGAAAAGUAUAUUAAAUUAAAACUGAAAGAUCUGAUCCAAAUGUUUUGCCACCAGAAUGUACGCCCAAUAUAGAUGGUAUAAAUGCAAGAAGUGUACCUAGGGAACAAACAAUUCUUUUCAUACUUUGUUCUGCAGAAGAUGCUUCAAGUACGAUUACUUCUUACAUCGUGGAAGAAUUUCCUGGUAAAAAGACAAAUAACCGUCUAUAUGUGUUCAAUGGAUAUAUGUAUAAUAGAGACAGUCGGUAUGAAUAUAUUUAUCGAUGUAGUAAGAGACGUUAUUUUAAAUGCAAACGAAGUCUGCAACAAGAUGGUGAAAUGUACACUCUCAUUGCCGAACAUGAUCAUUCACCAGAUGCAGCAUUAUCUGAAAAAUUGAAAAUGAAUCAAGAAAUGAAACAAAUGUGUAAAAAUAGAUACACAAAGAGUAAAGAUAUUUUUGAUACUGUAUCUCGACGUUAUCCUGUAGCAGCCGCAUCGGUAUCAUAUAAUAUAAUGCGGUCACCUCUUUAUCGUGAAAAAAUCAAAUAUAAACCAUCGUUGCCUGCAAAUUUUUUGGAUUUACGUACAAUGCUUCAAACCUAUGAACCUUUAAAUAGUAUAUGUAAAGGUAAAGCAACAUCAAUAAAAAAUUAAACGGCCCUUAUAUUCAGUACAGAUAUACUAAUAUACUAUUGAAAGAGUUGGCUCCAUCCACCGAAAUGUAUCUUGAUGGGACAUUUUCUAUUGUUCCAAAAAUUCCAAAAAUAACGCAGCUAUUUACAAUACAUAUCCGUUACUUUCAAACAGCAAUUGCAACAGUUUUUAUAUUAUGCGAAAUACGAACUGAAUUUCUGUAUGGUGCUACAUGGAUAAAAAUAAAGCAACUAAUUCCUGAUCUUGAAAAAAAAAAUAUUAAAUUCAUAAUGUUAGAUUAUGAACGUGCAGCAGGAAUAUCAGUCAUUGAAAAUUUUCCAUCUACUGCAGUACAUGGAUGUUGGUUCCGUUUUUAUUAGCCAUGACGCCAUACCUUAUAUAAAACCAGAAUAACGACAACAUCACGUCGCUAACGAGCGAUAGUCUAUUUACAAAAUAUCGAUCGGGAUAUUCGAAUAUACACGGCCGUAACAUUAAUAUCAAAACUGGGAUAAAACUGAAAAGCUCUUUCACAAUACUCGGGUUAAGUUCGAGCAGCGCGUAUGUACAAGUGAGAUGUAUAUUAAUUAAUUUGAUUCUUCUACAGUGUAGCUGGUGUAGAAGUCACAGCAAUAUUAGUCAAUCAAAUGAAAGUAUAUAAGAAAAAGUGAUAUCACAAAGUAGCACCAAGUAAAUUUUGUACGUUUGUACUUUUGUACAUUAUUAUCCUAA